rnacentral:rRNA from 2 species
GGAGAUUCAUCGUCAAAAUAUAUGGUAUUAAUGCUAGUUAUGAUAUGGUAAAUAAUCCUUGUGGUUAGUAUUAUGGUACAUUCUAGUAUUAUUUUUGCUGUAUAUGUCGGCGUGCACUUCUCCUCUAGUAAAACGUCGCAACCCGUUAAAUGUUGAUCUAUGGCCUAAUUGAUUGCCUCUUACUGCUUGCAGUUGGAGAUCUUUAGGGUUCCUGAUCAACGGUUUGACGGUACUCUAAUGGAAUAAAGUCGCUAUUUAAGCGUUAAAUUUAUCACAAGGGCGGUUUAUUAUUAACAGAACGGAUCUAAGGCCGCCGUUAAAGUAAAUCAACUGUUAGUUGAUAAUAAUCUUUAACUGACUUUAAUACCGGUUAGCGACGCUACUGCUUGGGAUACUUUCAGGACCCGUCUUGAAACACGGACCAAGGAGUCUAACAUGUACGCAAGUCAUUGGGAUUUUUAAAACAAACCUAAAGGCUUAUGAAAAGAAAUAUAUUGUUAUGACACAUUAAGGGAAAUAGAGUACACAUUACGAUGGUCCCACAUUCCCGGGGGA